rnacentral:rRNA from 1 species
GAAGUCCUACGGGGGGCAGCAGUGGGGAAUAUUGCACAAUGGGGGGAAACCCUGAUGCAGCGACGCCGCGUGAGCGAUGAAGUAUUUCGGUAUGUAAAGCUCUAUCAGCAGGGAAGAUAAUGACGGUACCUGACUAAGAAGCCCCGGCUAACUACGUGCCAGCAGCCGCGGUAAUACGUAGGGGGCAAGCGUUAUCCGGAUUUACUGGGUGUAAAGGGUGCGUAGGUGGCAGG